rnacentral:rRNA from 1 species
UUGCGGUUAAAAAGCUCGUAGUUGGAUCUCGGCGGGUAGAAGGCGGUACACUGCUAAGUGUUACUACCUUAUUACCCGUAGUUUUUGCUAGAGGUUUCAGGGUGCUCUUAAUCGAGUGUCCUGGGAUGCUAGCAGGUUUACUUUGAAAAAAUUAGAGUGCUCAAAGCAGGCUACUACGCUUGAAUAUUCGUGCAUGGAAUAAUAGAAUAGGAAGUCGUUUCUAUUUUGUUGGUUUUCGGAAAUCGACUUAAUGAUUAAUAGGGACAGUCGGGGGCACUUGUAUUCAAACGACAGAGGUGAAAUUCUUGGACCGUUUGAAGACAAACUACUGCGAAAGCAUUUGCCAAGAAUGUUUUCAUUAAUCAAGAACGAAAGUUAGAGGUUCGAAGGCGAUUAGAUACCGCCCUAGUUCUAACCAUAAACGAUGCCAGCUAGCGAUCUGCGGACGUUUUUUUUGUAGACUCCGCAGGAAGCUUCCGGGAAACCAAAGCGUGUGGGUUCCGGGGGAAGUAUGGUUGCAAAGCUGAAACUUAAAGGAAUUGACGGAAGGGC